rnacentral:rRNA from 1 species
GAUGAACGCUGGCGGCGUGCCUAAUACAUGCAAGUCGAGCGAACAGACGAGGAGCUUGCUCCUCUGACGUUAGCGGCGGACGGGUGAGUAACACGUGGAUAACCUACCUAUAAGACUGGGAUAACUUCGGGACACCGGAGCUAAUACCGGAUAAUAUAUUGAACCGCAUGGUUCAAUAGUGAAAGACGGUUUUGCUGUCACUUAUAGAUGGAUCCCGGCCGCAUUAGCUAGUUGGUAAGGUAACGGCUUACCAAGGCAACGAUGCGUAGCCGACCGGAGAGGGUGAUCGGCCACACGGGAACUGAGACACGGUCCAGACUCCUACGGGAGGCAGCAGUAGGGAAUCUUCCGCAAUGGGCGAAAGCAUGACGGAGCAACGCCGCGUGAGUGAUGACGGUCUUCGGAUCGUAAAAAUCGGUUAUGAGGGAAGAACAAAUGUGGAAGUAACUAUGCACGUAGUGACGGUACCUAAUCAGAAAGCCACGGCUAACUACGUG